GGGGCUAUAGCUCAGAUGGGAGAGCGCCUGCCUUGCACGCAGGAGGUCAGCGGUUCAAUCCCGCUUAGCUCCA
rnacentral:tRNA from 1 species